rnacentral:lncRNA from 1 species
UUCCUAGGACUUUUAAACUUAGUAUACAUCCAUAGGUAAUGGCUGCAAGUGAGAAUCUACUUUUUGAAACAAGUUGAAAAAAAGCAUUUGUCUACAAAAGAACAUCAGAUACUGCACUUUUUACAAAUUGAAUGUUUGUGGCAAGCCUGCAUCGAGAAAGUCCAUUGAUGCCAUUUUUUUCAAACAAGCAGACUUUGAUAGUGAAAAGAAGGAAGAAAACAUGUAGGCCCUAAAGAUCCUUAAAAGAGGGAAAGAGGUGACACAAGACAGAGGAUCUGGGUGAAGAGAGACUGAGACACAGGUGUCCUAAAGCAGAGGACAACAGUGCAGAAAGAGGACCUGUGCCAUCUGAAGGCAUGCCUCACAGCAGAGAAACAUCAACUCACCUGAAAGGGAAGCAAUGGACAGUUGCAUUAAUGAAAUUGGAUCAUGCUUUCUGCUUGUUAUUAAAUUUUACUUUCUGAUAGUUAAGGAAUGCUUGUAACUGAGGAAGUACCGACUUUUCUGGAAGGCAUAUUUCCCAGAUUUGUAAGAAGAGUUAGAACCACAAAAACAUGGUAGCAAAAAAGGUAACUCACCAUGUCUUUUGGGCUUCGGGUACCCCAGCCUGAAAAUUUGGUUCUAUUUCAGCAAUCAGGUAAUUUAGUAGUAUUUGUCUUUUUAUAUUCCCAUUUAAAUAAAUCUAGACUGUAUUA